rnacentral:rRNA from 1 species
UCUCUUCUUCCGCAUAAGGCGUAAAUGCACAAGCGGCCUUGCCGAGAAGAAAUAGGAGAGCGGCCCGUUGGCUGCGGCAGGUGAGGCCGAAGCGGUCAAGCGGAGGAGGCGGCAGCGGUACCGGCUGCGAUUUAGGGUUCCGGCUCGUCGCUGAUGGCGAGAGUCAAGGUGAGGGUGAGGGUGUACCCGCCUUGCCUGGCUCCGGGAUUGCGUGUAGGACUGGGUGGGGAGGGUGAGCGGCAGCGAGGUGAGCGUCGAGAAGGAGCGCAGGGCGCAGGGCACGGGUGGAGCCCCGAGGAGGAUGGGCGGGAAGGAGACGGGGCCGCGCAGCGAGGACGCCACCCGUGAGUGGAGGCAGAAGGACGGGGCGCGCCGGGCGGAACCGGACGGCGGAAGCAGGACCGCGAGGGCCACGGGGAAAGUCGAGGGCGGCGGCGAGCACGGGAGGCGGCCGUAGCUCUGCCGUGGCCUCGCCACCUCGCUCCGGCUCGAGGCCCCCAUGCGCGUCGCCGCCGCCCGAGCCUCCCCCGGGUACUCCUGCGCCGGCGGCCACAGGUACCGCCCCCACCACGACUGCUGGCACGGGUUGUAGCACUAGUAGCACCAGUAGUACGCCCUCGAGAAGACCCAGGCCGGACCGGCAAAGACUCGGUAAGUCCACGUCCUAGUGCUCCGUGUACCUAGAGUAGAAGAGGUAGUUCGUAUACCCAGUAUGAUACGUAAAAUCCCACGCAGCGCAGCGACCGAGGAUGAUAGGACAGUAGUGUCAUCGACCGCAAGGACUCAAACUAGCGAACGGUAUCAGUUACGCGAAUGUACAGUUCCCUUCGACGGAACACAAGGUGGUGGCCUUCUAACCAUGUAGGUCGGGUCAUCGCCAGCAACCGGGUCAGUCAAUCAUAACGAGAUAGGAGUUAAGGAGUAGUCAAUAAAGAACAAGUUGUAAAAUGGGCGUUAUAUGCUCGAGGUUUUUCCUACUUCACUCCCCUUCCAAAUGUUCCUAUCUCACAGGUUCCUCGUUUCUCCAGGGUUCCUGGGUUAUACAGAGUCAGAAAGAACGUGAACAACACAGUAACCAUUCGAGUCUAGCCCUCGACAACAAGAAACCGUGCAAAUCUAUGUCACAAGACGUGUACCACGAACGAAAAGCGGAAAGGCAAUCUGUCGUCGUCCAAGAAGGUCGUUAUUUGAACCACUUUGUGGUAGUGUCACGUCUUUGUUAAGUAGUACGUGUAAAGUACGUUAAUAGGACUAACUAUCCCAUCAACACGAGUAUCCGUCGUUCUCAGGUCAGGUGUCGAUAGUGACUUUCAUCUAGUUUGACCAACCUACAACUUACGACAAGUAGUUUCAGUGCUGAGACACAACCUGCAGACGAUCCGUGGGAGACAUGAAGACGACAAGUUACUACGUAUGUGUACAACCCUUGACUGUUUACCGUUGGGUGGAGACCAAGGACCAGGUCAGUUUAGACGUCAUGGACACGAAAUUAAAACACAGCUUGACGACACCAUGUACAAGUCGCACGUAUGAGACGAACGUAGAGGACAAUGUUCCUACAACGUCUACAAGGAACCCUACUCCAACGUCCUUACAAGGUGACCUACGAACGACGACGGUAGAAAGCAUCUACGUAACGGCCUCAUAAGGUAAGGGUAGUCGCAGUUCACACCACCAGGCGGUACGUCUAGUAGAGGUUUUUACGCUAUAACUAACAACUAGACAGUUCCACCUCACGACGGUUGACACUCGACAAGGACUGCCACAGUGAUCUGGUUCUGCUCGACAUAACCAAAGAUCUCACGUCGGUGUCGCAUUUUGUGUCCCAAAGACAGUAUUAGAACGUGUAACUCCUCUUUGGACGGUGGCCACAACAGACAGCUGUACUCGGUCGACGUCUCGAAAAUAGGGUACCUCGUACCAAUUCGUGAUCUAACCCGUCCAACCAUAACCGACUCAACCACUUCCACAGCUUGGCUGACGGGACCAUUCGUGUCAGAGACCACAGAUAGCAUCCUCCGUGUCUACUUAGACCCUAAGGUUUCGAGUCUCACACGACUUCCUCGGUGGGUUUGACACGAAGUUGACCGUAAGUGUACGACAUCCACCACAUAGUUUGCUACCGGAACAGUUUGGUCUCCCACUGUUCGCUCGGUUCCAACACAACGCGACUACCUCGUGAAAUCCUACUCGUAGAAUGCUCCUCCUACCUCUUAAGCCCCCGACGGUAACGAGAAACGAAACGUCGUCGAGAACGAACUCCGUCAUUUGGAAGGUGUAAUAGUCCUCGUAUCAACUAAAUCUGGUAGUUCAAUUAGAGAACGGAUUAUAUGAUAGGUCUUCUGAAACGGCUGAAAGGCGUUUGUGCCGUUCUUGUUUAGGAGUUCAUGUUAGUUCCGAGGGCUGACCCUACCCUACCUCUAUGAGUCAGACGAAAACUAACCCUACCUCUAGGUGGGUUAAAGUAAGAAGGGAUACAUUAUUUACUACAUUGAGAAAACUGA